CCUGCUACAGUAAGAGCUGUUCUCAAACAGUAAGGCACAUCUCUGCUACAGUAGGAGCUGUUCUCAAACAGUAAGGCCCAUCUCUGCUACAGUAAGAGCUGUUCUCAAACAGUAAGGCCCAUCUCUGCUACAGUAAGAGCUGUUCUCAAACAGUAAGGCCCAUCUCUGCUACAGUAAGAGCUGUUCUCAAACAGUAGGCCAUCUCUGAAGACUAGCUGUUCUCAAACAGUAAGACCCAUAUCUGUAAGAGCUGUUCUCAAACAGUAAGGCCCAUCACUGUAGGAGCUGUUCUCAAA